rnacentral:tRNA from 1 species
GGGUCGUUAGCUCAGUUGGUAGAGCAGCUGACUCUUAAUCAGCGGGCCACAGGUUCGACCCCUGUACGACCCACCA